CCUACGUGUGGCAGCAGUGAGGAAUAUUGGUCAAUGGACGAGAGACUGAACCAGCCAAGCCGCGUGAAGGAUGACUGCCCUAUGGGUUGUAAACUUCUUUUAUAUGGGAAUAAAGAGUUCUACGUGUGGGAUUUUGUAUGUACCUUACUAAUACGCAUCGGCUAACUCCGUGCCAGCAGCCGCGGUAAUACGGAGGAUCCGAGCGUUAUCCGGAUUUAUUGGGUUUAAAGGGAGCGUAGGUGGAUUGUUAAGUCAGUUGUGAAAGUUUGGGGCUCAACCGUAAAAUUGCAGUUGAAACUGGCAGUCUUGAGUACAGUAGAGGUAGGCGGAAUGCGUGGUGUAGCGGUGAAAUGCUUAGAUAGCACGAAGAACGCCGAUUGCGAAGGCAGCUUGCUGGACUGCAACUGACGCUGAGGCACGAAAGGGUGGGUAUCAAACAGGAUUAGAUACCCUAGUAGUC
rnacentral:rRNA from 1 species